UACAGAGGGGGCAAGCGUUAUUCGGAAUUAUUGGGCGUAAAGGGCGCGUAGGCGGCCUGGCAAGUGGACGGUGAAAUCCCUCGGCUUAACCGAGGAACUGCCCUCCAAACUGCUUGGCUUGAGUCCGGGAGAGGUGAGUGGAAUUCCCAGUGUAGCGGUGAAAUGCGUAGAUAUUGGGAGGAACACCAGUGGCGAAGGCGGCUCACUGGACCGGUACUGACGCUGAUGUGCGAAAGCGUGGGGAGCAAACGGG
rnacentral:rRNA from 1 species